UUUACUAUAAUUUCUUUUUCAAUAACGAGACAAUUUUAAUACUACAUAUUUAUUAUUGCUUUACCCUAGUUAGAAGACAUUCAUUUUACAGUCAAAACAACCCACUGAGGGAUCCAGAUAUCUUCAUGAAGUUAUGUUUUUCCACUGAGUUUUCCCCAGAUCUUCUGAGAAAAUAUGGUGGUGUAGUGUCAAAAAUCAUACUUCCCAUUAAUAUUAAAGAUUGACC
rnacentral:lncRNA from 1 species